rnacentral:rRNA from 1 species
AUUGAACGCUGGCGGCAGGCCUAACACAUGCAAGUCGAGCGGAAACGAGUUAUCUGAACCUUCGGGGGACGAUAACGGCGUCGAGCGGCGGACGGGUGAGUAAUGCCUAGGAAAUUGCCCUGAUGUGGGGGAUAACCAUUGGAAACGAUGGCUAAUACCGCAUAACGCCUUCGGGCCAAAGAGGGGGACCUUCGGGCCUCUCGCGUCAGGAUAUGCCUAGGUGGGAUUAGCUAGUUGGUGAGGUAAUGGCUCACCAAGGCGACGAUCCCUAGCUGUUCUGAGAGGAUGAUCAGCCACACUGGGACUGAGACACGGCCCAGACUCCUACGGGAGGCAGCAGUGGGGAAUAUUGCACAAUGGGGGAAACCCUGAUGCAGCCAUGCCGCGUGUGUGAAGAAGGCCUUCGGGUUGUAAAGCACUUUCAGUAGGGAGGAAAGGUGAUGUGUUAAUAGCACAUUGCUGUGACGUUACCUACAGAAGAAGGACCGGCUAACUCCGUGCCAGCAGCCGCGGUAAUACGGAGGGUCCGAGCGUUAAUCGGAAUUACUGGGCGUAAAGCGUGCGCAGGCGGUUUGUUAAGCCAGAUGUGAAAUCCCCGGGCUCAACCUGGGAAUUGCAUUUGGAACUGGCGAACUAGAGUCCUGUAGAGGGGGGUAGAAUUUCA